AAAUUGAAGAGUUUGAUCAUGGCUCAGAUUGAACGCUGGCGGCAGGCCUAACACAUGCAAGUCGAACGGUAACAGGAAGAAGCUUGCUUCUUUGCUGACGAGUGGCGGACGGGUGAGUAAUGUCUGGGAAACUGCCUGAUGGAGGGGGAUAACUACUGGAAACGGUAGCUAAUACCGCAUAACGUCGCAAGACCAAAGAGGGGGACCUUCGGGCCUCUUGCCAUCGGAUGUGCCCAGAUGGGAUUAGCUUGUUGGUGGGGUAACGGCUCACCUAGGCGACGAUCCCUAGCUGGUCUGAGAGGAUGACCAG
rnacentral:rRNA from 1 species